AGAGUUUGAUUAUGGCUCAGGAUGAACGCUGGCGGCGUGCCUAACACAUGCAAGUCGAGCGAUUCUCUUCGGAGAAGAGCGGCGGACGGGUGAGUAACGCGUGGGUAACCUGCCUCAUACACAUGGAUAACAUACCGAAAGGUAUGCUAAUACAGGAUAACAUAAGAGAUUCACAUGGAUUUUUUAUCAAAGCUCCGGCGGUAUGAGAUGGACCCGCGUCUGAUUAGCUAGUUGGUAAGGUAACGGCUUACCAAGGCGACGAUCAGUAGCCGACCUGAGAGGGUGAUCGGCCACAUUGGAACUGAGACACGGUCCAAACUCCUACGGGAGGCAGCAGUGGGGAAUAUUGCACAAUGGGCGAAAGCCUGAUGCCAGCAACGCCGCGUGAGUGAUGAAGGCUUUCGGGUCGUAAAACUCUGUCCUCAAGGAAGAUAAUGACGGUACUUGAGGAGGAAGCCCCGGCUAACUACGUGCCAGCAGCCGC
rnacentral:rRNA from 1 species